AACGAACGCUGGCGGCAUGCCUAACACAUGCAAGUCGAACGAGACCUUCGGGUCUAGUGGCGAACGGGUGCGUAACGCGUGGGAACCUGCCCUUAGGUUCGGAAUAACUCCCCGAAAGGGGUGCUAAUACCGGAUAAUGUCUUCGGACCAAAGAUUUAUCGCCUUUGGAUGGGCCCGCGUUGGAUUAGCUAGUUGGUAGGGUAAAAGCCUACCAAGGCGACGAUCCAUAGCUGGUCUGAGAGGAUGAUCAGCCACACUUGGACUGAGACACGGCCCAGACUCCUACGGGAGGCAGCAGUGGGGAAUAUUGGACAAUGGGCGAAAGCCUGAUCCAGCAAUGCCGCGUGAGUGAUGAAGGCCUUAGGGUUGUAAAGCUCUUUUACCCGGGAUGAUAAUGACAGUACCGGGAGAAUAAGCUCCGGCUAACUCCGUG
rnacentral:rRNA from 1 species